AGAAAGACAUUAGGUUUCCCCUUUGCAAAGGCCCUUCUGGCCUCUUGAAGUAAUAACAAACAAUAUCGUCGCGCGAAAUGCUCAGGGUCAGACAUAUCAGUAUUUGAAGGAGUUGUGGUCAGGUCAUCUGGCUCAGGGUCAGACAUAUCAUCAUUUGAAGGAGUUGUGGUCAGGUCAUCUCGUUCAUUGGACAUUUCUUGAGGCAUCUCACGCACGGGGGAUGUGCUAGGGUUAAGAUCAGCAAUGAUUCUAUCAAUGUCUGGAGGGUCUGACUCAGACAUGCUUUGAUCUGG
rnacentral:lncRNA from 1 species